GCCGGGUGUUGUGGCGGGCGCCUGUGGUCCCAGCUACUUGGGAGGCGGAGGCAGGAGACUCGCUUGAGCCCAGGAGUUGGAGGUUGCUGUGAGCUGUGAUGCCAUGGCACUCUACCCAGGGGGACAGCUUGAGGCUCUGUCUCAAAAAAAAAAAAAACAACCCUUGCAACACCUUGAUCUUGGAUGUCCAGUCUCCAGACCUAUGAGAAAAUAAAUUUCUUUUUUUGGAGACGGAGCCUCAAGCUAUCCCCCUGGGCAGAGUGCCGUGGCAUCACGCUCACAGCAACCUCCAACUCCUGGGCUCAAGCGAGUUUCCUGCCUCAG
rfam:Otolemur garnettii contig047926, whole genome shotgun sequence.